rnacentral:rRNA from 1 species
CAAUAGCGUAUAUUAAAGUUGUUGCAGUUAAAAAGCUCGUAGUUGGAUUUCUGGUGGGAGCGAUCGGUCUGGCGCUUAGCGCGAGUACUUGCAUCGUCUCCGGCCAUCCUUGGGGAGAGUCUGUCUGGCAUUAAGUUGUCGGGCAGAGGAUCCUCAUCGUUUACUGUGAAAAAAUUAGAGUGUUCAAAGCAGGCUUAUGCCGUUGAAUAUAUUAGCAUGGAAUAAUAAGAUAGGACUUUGGUACUAUUUUGUUGGUUUGCGCACCAAAGUAAUGACUAAUAGGGACAGUUGGGGGUAUUCGUAUUCCGUUGUCAGAGGUGAAAUUCUUGGAUUUACGGAAGACGAACUACUGCGAAAGCAUUUACCAAGGAUGUUUUCAUUAA